rnacentral:rRNA from 1 species
CCUACUGGAGACAGCAGUGAGGAAUAUUGGUCAAUGGGCUGAAGCCUGAACCAGCCAAGUAGCGUUCAGGCUGACGGCCCUACGGGUUGUAAACUGCUUUUAUACGGGAAUAACGCGCCUUACGUCUAGGGCUUUGCAUGUACCGUAUGAAUAAGGACCGGCUACUUCCUUGCCAGCAGCCGCCGUAAUACGGAAGGUCCGGGCGUUAUCCGGAUUUAUUGGGGUUAAAGGGACCGUAGGCCGCAUGUCAAGGGUGCUGUGAAAUGUCCGGGCUCAACCCGGGCCUUGCAGCGCUAACUGGAGUGCUUGAGUCCGCGGCAAGCAGGCUGAAUU